GUCAGCUGAGCGAAACACAGAUUUUGUAAAGUGCUAAUGAUUAAUAGUAAAAACUUUGAAAGCUGUGCAACCAAAAAAUUCGAUAGUGUGAUUAAUUUGAAUCUAACAAUUACAAUAAACAAGCCCGCUGCACAUUUGUAACAUAUUGUCGGAUAUGUCGGACGAUGAGGAUGACGAGGAAGAGCGAAAUGGCAUAGAUUUUGAGGUAGAAAUAAUUGCGGAUUUAUUAGAGGAAGAGGAAUCUUUCCCACCCGAAGUUCUGCCACAAACUCAAGUCCGAAGACUUAAAUGGUUUUCAAAAAGCUUUUCAAAUUCUUCUGAAUGUUCCGACGUAAUUGAAUGGGAUGUUGAUAAUAGAGAGAUGUGGACACCUUUCAAUUAUUUUUCAGAACACUUCGACAAUAACUUCUGGAGCUUAGUUUCAGAAAAAUAAUAUGUAUGCAAUUCAAAACAACCGCAAUUUAAACUCCACUCCUUCUGAGUAUAAAAAGCUAGUAGGCGCUCAUAUUGUUGCGGAGUGCAUGAAACUUCCAAGGAUACGUAUGUAUGUAUUAUCGAAUAAAAGUCCCAGCCAUCACACAAAUUCCCAGAGACAGACUUUUUAAGUUGCGAAAUCACAUGCAUUUUGUUGACAACAUGUAAGUUACCGCAGAGGAAAAAAAAGAUAAACUUUGGAGAGUUCGACCAGUACUAGACGUUUUAUUGAAAAGGUGUAGAUUGAUUCUCAAGCCAAAAAAAUGCAGCAUCGAUGAGCAAAUGAUUCCGUUUUCAGGAAAAACAAGCCUUAAGCAAUACGUAAAAGGCAAACCAAAUCCAGUAGGAUUGAAAACUUUGUUCUAGCAUCCCCUGAUGGUUUAAUACUGGACUUUUUUAUACACCAAGGAGCAAACACGUGGCCCGAUGGAAAGCCGAAUAAACAUUUGGGAAUUGGUGGUACUGUUGUACAAAAACUUGCUACAGAUCUCAGAGAAGGUAGUGAAGUAUUCAUUGACUGAUAUUUCACCUCUAUAAAUAUUCUCGAGCAUUUGUUGGAUAAUAAAGGAAGAGGUAGUCACGAAGAGUUCGCUAGGGAAGAUGACAAAUUGUGUGUUGUCAAGUGGAUGGAUAGCCGCUCUGUGCUUAUAGCUUCCACGUCAACUGGAUCGUUACCCCUACAAACUGCUCGACGAUGGGAUAAAGUAAACAGAAAGUACAUUAACGUUGAUUGUCCACAUGCAAUUUCAAGCUACAACAAAUACAUGGGAGAAGUAGACUUAGCGGAUAGGUACGUCUCUUACUACAGGAUUGCAAUUCGCACCAAAAAAUGGCCUUUGAAGGUGUUUUGGCAUUUUAUCGAUGUUGCCGCGGGCAACUCCUGGGUUAUAUACAAAAAAGACAAAUAUGCAUGCGGUGAACACAAAAAAAAUAUCAUGGAUUUACUCGAUUUUAAAUUCUAUAUCGCCGAAUGUUUAAUUGCUGAU